AUGGUCACAUCACGUUGAAACACUGUAACAUUCCCAUACAAUCACCAAAGAUAAGCUAUACUGAGCCUGGUCAGUACCUAGAUGGGUGACCACUUGGGAAUACCAGGUACUGUAAG